rnacentral:misc_RNA from 1 species
GGAUGGAUCAUUCAUAUAAUUCAAAACCAACCUGAGCUCUUAUCUCACUAUUCCACUAUUCUUCUAACUUAAAACCUAUAACGAUGGAUGACUUGGCUCUUUGAUCGAGGAAGGACGCAGCAAGCUGCGUUAAGCGAGUGAAUCUGCAUCUUCCAUGAAACUUCGGUAUCUGAACGCAUUAGCGAUGCAAAUUUAUUUGCGUCGUGUUCGGUUCGGUGUUAUGUUAAUUCCCUCUUCUGAGGUGGCAAUCCAUUACAAGGAUAAUUAUGAGGGCUUCCGUUUGCAAGUGACUUUACUUUACGAUGCCUUUCGUGUACUUAACCCGAGCUGAGCAAGGUUACUCGCUGAAUUUAAGCAUAUAAUUAAGCGAAGGAAUAGACAACAACAUUGAUUUCCUGAAUAGUGGCGAACGAAAAGGAAACAGCGCAGAGUGUAAAUCGAGUUCUCCAAUUCGAGUUGUACAUGACUAUCAACAGGGGCUAAGGUUAGAUGGAGGUGUCUGGAAUGUCCCCCCAUUGGCGGUGAAAGGCCGCAGCAUCUAAUUAUGGGUCACAUACUUGAUAGUUAAGGGAGUCACAUUCUUUGGGCGUAGAAUGUAAAUCGGGUGGUAACUAUCAUCCAACGCUAAAUAUUGCAAAGAGACCGAUAGCAAACAAGUACCGUGAGGGAAAGUUGAAAAGCACUCCGGAAGGAGAGUUAAAAUACCUGAAAUCGUUAUGGUGGAAGCGUGUGCCAUAUUUUGUCUAUUCAGAGUGCAUCUGAGUAGACCUCGACAUCCCCUGCGCACAACCUUUCUGCCCAGCGGAAUUCUUGUGUGCACGAUAUGUUUGAUCUGGUACACGGCCCGUCUUGAAACACGGACCAAGGAGUUAAACAUUUGUGCGAGUGUAAGGAUUGGAAAUUCAGACGCGUAGUGAAAGCAAAUGCUGUUUUACUACAGCAGCCGACUAUAGAGUUGAGCUAGAGCAUAACUGUUUAGACCCGAAAGAUGGUGACCUAUACCUGAGCAGGGUGAAGCCAAGGGAAACCCUGGUGGAAGCUCGUAGCGAUACUGACGUGCAAAUCGUUCGCUUGACUUGGGCAUAGGGGCGAAAGACUAAUCGAACCAUCUGGUAGCUGGUUCCCUC